GUGAAGGCUUCGGAAAAGCUGGCCCAGAACAAGGAGGUGCAACAGAAAACUGCAAAAUGGGCAUCACAGCCUGCAGUGUCUGCCCCAAAGUCGACUGCCACAAAGCCCAAGAGACCUGAACAGCUUAAGCCUACCAGGACUUGGUUGCCAGGGACUAAGAAUGCCACUUCAUCAGCCUUAAGCAGAGCACCAGUCAGUGACAGAGGUGUAGGCAAACCUAAGCAGACUGUGCCACCUGCUGGUCAGGCUGCAGCAGUGCAGCAGCAAAAAAGCACCCAGGCCACACAAAGAGAUCCCAUCAGAGCCGCCACCAUCCCAAAGGCCAAGCCUUCAAGCACUAACCC